UUAUCUGUCAAUCGUUCACUUUACAAAACAAUAUUCAAAAUGGCAAGGCUCACUCCAUCAAUUUCAAUUGCUUUCCUUCUUCUAUUGGUUCUUCUAACAAUAGAGAUGACCCCUAUGAAAGUGGAGGGUAAACAUUGUGAAAGUCCAAGCACUAAGUUCAAAGGUAUUUGCGCGAGUAACACUAAUUGUCAGACCGUGUGCGAGUCAGAAGGUUUCACAGAUGGAGAAUGUGAAGGUUUUCGUCGUCGGUGCAUUUGCAAUAAGCCUUGUUGAGUAAUUCAUUAUACAAGAGGACUAACCGCUUAGAUUUAUAUGGUA